rnacentral:tRNA from 1 species
AUUUUCUUAGUAUACAAGUACAGGUGACUUCCAAUCACCAAGAUCUGGUUGCAACCCAGAAGAAAAUA